CUACCUUAAAGCCUGGAAUAACCUGCCGAAAGGCGGGCUAAUACUGGAUAGAUCGAGAAAUUUGUAAGAAAUUUCUCGGGAAAGGGUGCUCGUAAGGGAGCCCACUUUGAGAUGAGCCUGCGUCUCAUUAGCUAGUUGGUGGGGUAAUGGCCCACCAAGGCAGUGAUGAGUAGCUGGUCUGAGAGGAUGAUCAGCCACACUGGAACUGAAACACGGUCCAG
rnacentral:rRNA from 1 species